rnacentral:misc_RNA from 1 species
UGUUGGCCAAAUGCUGCAUUUAGCUUUCGAAGCUGUGUUGGUGGAGUCUGUUUUUUUUUUUUUGUUUUCCCAAUCUGGGUGUGUGGGUGGAGUUAUUUUGUUGAUAUUGCGCAUUCUCAAGUAUCAGGACUGCAAUUCUUGCGCAUUUCCUAUUACUGCAUGUGUAGCUUUUUGAGAUGUUUUCUUCAAUUUUGUAACUUUCUGUCUCAUCUUGAACUUGUUUUGUGUUUCAUGAGUUGAUUUGUUUUGCUCGAAUUUGCUUUUUGUAGGAGAGAACAAUAAAAUUUCAGGUAAAUUCAUCCUGCGUUUAAUUUGUUGUGACUGUUA